UACGGAGGGUGCAAGCGUUAUCCGGAUUUACUGGGUUUAAAGGGCGCGUAGGCGGACAGUUUAGUCAGAGGUGAAAGCCCAGGGCUCAACCUUGGAAUUGCCUUUGAUACUGGCUGUCUUGAGUUCGGGAGAGGUGAGUGGAAUGCCGAGUGUAGAGGUGAAAUUCGUAGAUAUUCGGCGGAACACCAGUGGCGAAGGCGACUCACUGGCCCGAUACUGACGCUGAGGCGCGAAAGCGUGGGGAGCAAACAGG
rnacentral:rRNA from 1 species